UAGAAAUACAGCACUGGUACGGGUACGGAUCCGACGCCUCUCGAAGGAUACUUAGGCUCUCCGUACCCUACUCCUACUCAAAACGUCCCCGACGUACAGAACGGUCCUUUUAAGUCCAUGCCUAGGGACUCUAAAUAGUAGGCC
rnacentral:ribozyme from 1 species